UGGGGAAUUUUGGACAAUGGGCGAAAGCCUGAUCCAGCAAUGCCGCGUGUGUGAAGAAGGCCUUCGGGUUGUAAAGCACUUUUGUCCGGAAAGAAAUCCUUGGCUCUAAUACAGUCGGGGGAUGACGGUACCGGAAGAAUAAGCACCGGCUAACUACGUGCCAGCAGCCGCGGUAAUACGUAGGGUACAAGCGUUAAUCGGAAUUACUGGGCGUAAAGCGUGCGCAGGCGGUUUGCUAAGACCGAUGUGAAAUCCCCGGGCUCAACCUGGGAACUGCAUUGGUGACUGGCAGGCUAGAGUAUGGCAGAGGGGGGUAGAAUUCCACGUGUAGCAGUGAAAUGCGUAGAGAUGUGGAGGAAUACCGAUGGCGAAGGCAGCCCCCUGGGCCAAUACUGACGCUCAUGCACGAAAGCGUGGGGAGCAAACAGGAUUAGAUACCCUGGUAGUCCACGCCCUAAAACGAUGUCAACUAGUUGUUGGGGAUUCAUUUCCUUAGUAACGUAGCUAACGCGUGAAGUUGACCGCCUGGGGAGUACGGUCGCAAGAUUAAAACUCAAAGGAAUUGACGGGGUCAU
rnacentral:rRNA from 1 species